AGCUUGCUCCUUGGGUGACGAGUGGCGGACGGGUGAGUAAUGUCUGGGAAACUGCCCGAUGGAGGGGGAUAACUACUGGAAACGGUAGCUAAUACCGCAUAACGUCGCAAGACCAAAGAGGGGGACCUUCGGGCCUCUUGCCAUCGGAUGUGCCCAGAUGGGAUUAGCUAGUAGGUGGGGUAACGGCUCACCUAGGCGACGAUCCCUAGCUGGUCUGAGAGGAUGACCAGCCACACUGGAACUGAGACACGGUCCAGACUCCUACGGGAGGCGGCAGUGGGGAAUAUUGCACAAUGGGCGCAAGCCUGAUGCAGCCAUGCCGCGUGUAUGAAGAAGGCCUUCGGGUUGUAAAGUACUUUCAGCGAGGAGGAAGGCGUUGUGGUUAAUAACCGCAACGAUUGACGUUACUCGCAGAAGAAGCACCGGCUAACUCCGUGCCAGCCGCCGCGGUAAAAGGG
rnacentral:rRNA from 1 species